CCUGUUUAUCAAAAACAUGGCCUUUUGGAGAUUUAUAUAAAAGGUUGGGCCUGCCCGGUGAUCUGAAAUGGUUUAACGGCUGCGAUUGAAACCGUACUAAGGUAGCAUAAUAAUUUGCCCUUUAAUUGGGGGAGAGAAUGAAUGGUUUGACGGUAAAAAAGCUGUUUUAAAAAUAAAAAAAGAAGUUAACUUUUAAGUGAAAAGGCUUAAGUUUUUAUAAAAGACGAGAAGACCCCGUCGAGCUUAAUUAGAAUAACUUAAAUGUAGGUUAUUUAAAAUUUUAUUGGGGCAAUAGAAAAUGAAAUGAAUCAUUUUUUUUAUUAUAAGGAUCCAGUUUUGACUGAAAAAAGCAAAAGCUACCGCGGGGAUAACAGGGUAAUUUUUUCUGAGAGUUCAUAUUUAAGAAGAAGUUUGCUACCUCGAUGUUGGAUUAGAAUUUCUUUAUGCUUGCAGCAGGUAUAAUAGUAGGACUGUUCGUCCUUUAAAAUUUUACGUGAUCUGAGUUCAGACCGG
rnacentral:rRNA from 1 species